rnacentral:rRNA from 1 species
UCCGUAGGCGGAUAUUAAGUCAGGGGUGAAAUCCCAGAGCUCAACUCUGGAACUGCCUUUGAUACUGGGUAUCUUGAGUAUGGAAGAGGUAAGUGGAAUUCCGAGUGUAGAGGUGAAAUUCGUAGAUAUUCGGAGGAACACCAGUGGCGAAGGCGGCUUACUGGUCCAUUACUGACGCUGAGGUGCGAAAGCGUGGGGAGCAAACA